rnacentral:lncRNA from 1 species
AGUCUCUCUGACUUGGGAUUUCACAAUACAAUCACCCACACAUGCUUGGUUGGGCAAAAGAAAAAAACAUAUUCAACAUCUAAGGGGAACUUCCAAGGAUUUUAAUAAGGAAACUAGCACAGGCCAACAACAGUUUCAGGUCUCAGUUACAUUUUAUAGCAAAUUAACCCACAUGCAUUACCCAAAAAAAAAAACAUGCAGAGCCAAAGGUCCCAAGCCACCAGUUCUUCACAAUCAGCCUCCCUUCGUUUUCGUGCUGAUCCUCACAAAGCCCCUGUGAAACUAUUAAUUGGUAAUUAGGAAUGGAACCAAGCAAAACUUCAGGUCGUUAAGCCACUACUAACCUGCAGUAAGUUCACAAAGAACUGCAGCAACAUUGACAAAACAAAGGAAAUUAAUUUCUACAUCUCUACACGCACAAACAAUAACAACAAAAGGGAAGCCAAACACAAACCAAGACAGAUAAUACAAAUGAAAAUAUCAUAGUGCACAAAAGAUAGAUUGUUUAAACUAUUGCAUUGCAUCAGACAUCCAAGGAAGGAUCUAGCAGCAUCAGCUCUCAAGCCUGGCAGGGCGAAAGCUCUUAGGCGGCAACUGCGAAUGUUUGAGAAACAAGCCUUAAAUUUAUCAUCAUUUGCAAUGCAAAGAAAUAUGCAAUGAAAUUCAACAAAAUAAAACAAAAACAGUAUAAAUAUUGGGAUAUUAACAAGGCUCAGACAUCCAAGGAAGGAAUUAGCAGCAUUAGCUCUCAAGCCUGGCAGGGCGAAAGCUCUUAGGCGGCAUCUGCGAAUGUUUUGAGAAACAAGCCUUAAAUUUAUCAUCAUUGCCAUAUUAUCUCCCUAGUUGACCAAAUAAUGCUGACUUAUGCUAUUAAACUAAAUCCCUCAGAGACCCGCUUAAAAUCACGCACACAGAUGAUUCAAACCAGCUGCAAAUGGAGAUUCCUGCAUAGACCAAACCACAAAGGCUAUGGUCAACGGAGGACACUUGCAGUGGAGAGAACCAGCUGUUGUUUACAGUGUCAUACGGCACUUCCUAUGGUCUGAGAAUCUUCACCGGGACAAUUUAAGAAACGAAAUUGAUACUACAAGAGAGAUUUCAUACUACAAACAGUAUAGAAGCUGGUGGUAUUAAGCCUCAGAAAGCCGCAAAAAUAUCGUCAUUUGAUAUCAGACGGUAAUUCCAACAUAAAGCUAAUCAUCAUAGGCGUCAAUUGCAUUGUAGAUAUAAUGCCGAAGGCAGAUUGACAGAUAAAAAUCGAAAAAUAGUUAAGGCGUAUCAUCAGAAUAUAAAGCCUUCUCAUUCACAGGAAAAUAGGCACUGUGUCAGAAGGUGUCCUAAGAUUGUUUCAUGGUUUCAUCCCCUGAUACUGAGCAAAUCAGCAAAAAAAAUGAAACAGAAAAAAACUAAUCUCUGAUGGACUCAGAUGCAAAGAUGACAUCAAUGGACGGCACAGGCCGGCCUCGGAUCAAGUGUUGGAUUAUGCAUCAGUAAAUCCUCACGGUCCAAAGAGAUCUUGUACAGAACAAGCAAAUGAAGAUCAGAAGUGAAGAAAAAUUGGAGGGUACAACACAGUUACUCAGUGGUGGCAAUAUUUAAUUGGUUCGAUUCUGCCAGCGAUGUCGUCAAUGCUUUCAGAAGAGGGAGCUUGUUAUCCUCAUCGCAACUACGUCCUCCAAUACAAAACAAAAAUAACAAACAUGACAGACGCGAAUCCGGGGGAAAGAACAAUGAACAGCAGAUUGAAAAAUCAGGAAUCGGAUGGCUCAGUUCAGCGGGAUAAUCGGCAUACAGACCAACUCCUGAGAGAAAACCUGUGAUUUGGUCUGUUGAGCUUGAAUAUUUGCAAAUCGUCACUGCCAUCACCUGAAUGAAAAAGAACUGGUCGGAAAGAAAAUCGAACGAAUUGCGAGAUCUCUCAGCCCUGACCGUAAUAGGUUGGGUGGUUUGGUGGAGGAGGCUGGAACUUGAGCUCCGCUCCGGCGGCGAUGAUGGGAUCUCUGUGGAUGGACGGGCAGUUAUAUACGGAUGAAUAUCUGGGUUAGGGUUUAGAUUAGAAGUUCGCGCUGGGUGGUGGCGGCGUGUCUGCGGAUACUUCGCCGUGGGCCGCGAUUUCACUUCUACCUGCUCACACGGAACUUUUUGUUUGAACUGGGCUUGGAACAAACUACAGAUUUGUGCAUAACCCUUUCAGUACAGCCCAUAUGGCAGCACUAGGCCCC